UUUAGGUCCACAUGUGUUGGGUUUCAGCAGCACAGGCUGGAUAAGAUAGUGGAAGAGUACAAACUGAUUUGAUUUGAUUUUUAAAUUUGAAUAUCAGUGUAAUUGUUUUUAUCCUCGUCAUAGAGUUUUGUUUGUUUGUUGUGAAGAGUCAGUUUUAUGGGAGAUGUGCUAUUAACUGAUUUUUUUCUCCCAUGCAGGCAUGAUGGGAAUUUUGCAAGUUAAGGAGAGCCAAGCUGAAGGAAGAUGAGCACUUUCUCUCUUAAAUCUUACAUUUUCAAAUCUCCACCUGUCGUCUUAUUUUCUCAGCUUUUCGUUGGAUUUAUUCCCAUCUCCUCUUCUGCCUAAUCUUCUCUUGCACCACUAACAUUUUGCAGGCACUACCCCCUGAACAUAAACAGGCAGAGGGGGGUUGAUUGUGGUUUUGCUCUGAAUAUACAGUAGCCUCCAUUAGAAACCCCAAGAAAAAUAUAAUUAUAAAUUAAUAAAAAAUCUAAGUUGGGCUAAGGAAACAUCACAUUACACUAAUAUCCUGUGGUUAUGGUCUAAUGCCUGACGGCAAGUUUGUGGAGACUUAAUUCAAGCUGACUUAAAAAGACAAGCUUUGCACAUUCACAAGUUAGACAAAGAGCACAAUGAGAAAAGUAUAUUCAUUUUUCUUCAGACUACAAUUGUAGAGAGUGUUAUUUAGCCUGAAUCAGCAAACAGAAGUAGCCAAGUUGUAAAAUAUAAAAAUGUUAUUGCUUUACUGUAUCUGCUCUGUUAUAAUAUUCAGUGCCAUGAUUUUCUUUAACUGUGCUUUUAAGUUAGUUUAAUCUGUUUUUUUUGUUCAUAGAUCUCACUAAUAUUGUAAUGUCUAGUUGACUAGUCAACCAGUCAUAUCUUCCUCGAAUUUGAAGGCACUAUUCUUUACCCCAAGAACAUUAUUGAUUUCAGGACAAUACCAGAAAAAAUGGCCUAUAUAAUUGAGAUUUCACUUUUAACCAAUGAACUUCAUGACAUUGAUUUGUUUGAAUCAAAGCGAGACACCCCUGGAUUUGAAAUGACAUUGGAUCAACAAUAUUAGCAAUAGGUGUGACAGUUUUAAACCUUCAAUCUAACGCCACAUUAACUUACCUCGUCCCAUUCUGAGGUGAAUGAUGGUGAUUUCUCAAGCCUUUUCUUCCCACUGCUACAGUUAGAAACGGAUUCACUUCGGUUGCCUAGUCCUCCAUCUUCUUCGUUAGGAGGCGACACAAGCAAGUCUGAGUCCGACUUGGAGAGACUACGGGCAAGCUUAAGGUCGCCGGGAGGACGCAUCCUACCAGCACACAACGACCCUGAGUCUCUGGGCUCCUUGUUCACAGUGGCAUAAAUGGCUUUAGGAUCACAAUCUGUAAGGAUGGCAGCCAUACUGGGACGGCUAGGUGGCGCUUGCUCUUUCGCUUUGGCUCUUGGCUGUUGCUGGCUCUGAGUGAGUGGCAGGACACCUGGGACCCUAAAGGGAUCCUCGUGACAGUCAAACACAGGGGAGGACCCGUGAAGAAGGCCGGUAAAUUGUUCCGGGACACCAGGACCCUGAUCCUGGCUGAGCUGGGAGUUAUCUAGAGAGAGAAAAACAUCACAAGCAGGGGUAAAGGCGAGAGGAGGGGGUGAGAAAAAUUGGCAAAGGAAACUUAAAAGAUUCCACACCCAGCUUGCAGUCAUCUGACAACGAGCUGCUGGUGCUGAACGCCUGCAUUCUGUAAAAGGCUACAGUAUGUUCUCCAUUGGAAAGGAAUUACUGCUACAAAAGCCUCCUUUGCUCCAUCAAAUCCACCACGCAGCCCGGCUUUGCUUUAAAAAAGGGAACUAAACACAAGACUGGCUCCAGGUAUGCAGUUCCUCUAUGCACUCCAGCGGUGUGUGUUGUGACUAGCAGCUCUCUGUGUUUUUUGACUUCUAAUUCUGGACUCUUUAACGAUGGCUCAGGAAUGGAAAUUUGAAUCCCCCAUCGUCAGUGAGACGGACUGGGUAAUUAGCAGGGUGACACAUGGAGAGGGAGCAUGCACUGUGGAUUCAUGGACUGUCUUCUUCAGGGUGAUCGGGUCAAGGUGUUUGGUGACAGAGAAACUGUGGCAGCAGUUACAGAGGAAAAAAAGCAAAGACAAGCUUCAAUCAGAGGAUAUGUCUUUAGUUAAAAAAACAACAACUGAUGUUUGGGCACGUGUGUGUGUGUGUGUGUGUGGCAAUACAGUGAAACCUUGUCACAAGCUGCUAAACACUUGAAGUGUAUUUAAGUGUUUGGGCAUGAUAAAAAGAGGUGAGUGGGUGUAUUACACAUAUGUCAGGAUCCCUGCCAAACUUGAAGGACUGAGAACGCCCUCUGAGCACAUCGAUCUGAUUCCAACAAUCUCACAUUGGGUUAACCCUCUCCAGGUUCACUCCUCUUCAUUCUGUACCUCUAUUCCGAAGCCUCUGUUACAGUGCAUAAAUCUAAUAGUAUUGCAGCUCAAAUACAUGAGAUCACAACA